CGGACGGGUGAGUAACGCGUGAGAAUCUGCCUUUAGGUCCGGGACAACCACUGGAAGCGGUGGCUAAUACCGGAUGUGCCGCAACGUGAAAGGGGAAACCCGCCUGAAGAUGAGCUCGCGUCUGAUUAGCUAGUUGGUGAGGUAAAGGCUCACCAAGGCGACGAUCAGUAGCUGGUCUGAGAGGAUGACCAGCCACACUGGGACUGAGACACGGCCCAGACUCCUACGGGAGGCAGCAGUGGGGAAUUUUCCGCAAUGGGCGAAAGCCUGACGGAGCAAGACCGCGUGAUGGAAGAAGGCUCUUGGGUCGUAAACCUCUUUUGUCAGGGAAGAACACAAUGACGGUACCUGACGAAUCAGCCUCGGCUAACUCCGUGCCAGCAGCCGCGGUAAUACGGAGGAGGCAAGCGUUAUCCGGAAUUAUUGGGCGUUAAGCGUCCGUAGGUGGCUAGUCAAGUCUGCGGCCAAAGACUGGGGCUUAACCCUGGAAAGGCCGUGGAAACUGACGAGCUAGAGUGCAGUAGGGGUAGAGGGAAUUCCCGGUGUAGCGGUGAAAUGCGUAGAGCUCGGGAAGAACAUCGGUGGCGAAAGCGCUCUACUGGACUGCAACUGACACUCAGGGACGAAAGCUAGGGGAGCGAAUGGGAUUAGAUACCCCAGUAGUC
rnacentral:rRNA from 1 species